rnacentral:pre_miRNA from 1 species
AAAAAGGCAAACCGUGGGUUCCCGUGCCAACGUUUGAUUGUCCGUCUUAUAUGAAAUUUUUUUAUAAUUAGUAUUUUCAUUGUUGUUAGAUGAUAAAACAUGAUUAACACUUUAUGCGUGACUUAUCUUUUAAAUUUUUUUAAUAAUUUUUUCAAAUAAGACGGACGGUCAAACGUUGGACACGGAAAUCAGGGUUUGUCUUUUU